GCCGGGCGCGGUGGCGCGUGCCUGUAGUCCCAGCUACUCGGGAGGCUGAGGUGGGAGGAUCGCUUGAGCCCAGGAGUUCUGGGCUGCAGUGCGCUAUGCUGAUCGGGUGUCCGCACUAAGUUCGGCAUCAAUAUGGUGACCUCCUGGGAGCGGGGGACCACCAGGUUGCCUAAGGAGGGGUGAACCGGCCCAGGUCGGAAACGGAUCAGGUCAAAACUCCUGUGCUGAUCAGUAGUGGGAUCGCGCCUGUGAAUAGCCACUGCACUCCAGCCUGGGCAACAUAGCGAGACCCCGUCUCUU
ensembl:misc_RNA Metazoa_SRP Metazoan signal recognition particle RNA